AACGUUUUAACUUGUUUUCGAUUGCGUCCGGAAAUAAUUGCGAAAAAUUUUUAAAACUGACUACAAUUCCAAAGUCAGCGUUUUUUGUUCAUUUUAUGAAUGACUUCUUCCACACAGAAAAUAUGGAAGAAUAAUGUAAUCUUACGAAAUUCGAGUGGUCGGUUUUUACAUGCACGGACUGCCUCCUUAAACUCUAAGCGUGCAAAGCUUAAUGGGAGCACAAGUUUCAAGCUUAGUAAUCGAAUAUUGAAGCUAUUUGUGAAUGA